UUCCUCUUCGAUGGUAAAAGCGUUUUUUUUUUUUUUUGGCCAACCUCCCGCUUUAGAGGAAGAGAAGUGUACUUAGCAUAGAUGUGUGAGGAGAGAAAGUGUCACAUGUCUGCUUCAGAGCCUACUCAAAUGGUAGCGCGAAUCUAAAGAGUGACCCGGUGCUGUCGGGUUCGGGUCUCGGAUCAGUCUCAAAUCAUCAGCGUUUUCUGUGAAGUUGAUGGAGUAAUGACAAGGUGAAGAUCCACUCUGAUGUCUGCUGGUGGUUUGGGGAUGGAUGACUCGAUGGAGGAAACAAGGGCCGUACCAUUAAGGCAAUCGAAGGGAAUACAACACUGUUGGUAGUGCUGAUAGAAGAAA
ensembl:lncRNA